UACGAAAUGAACUUAAAUGAAAAUAGUUUUAUAACCAUUUUUUAAUUUAAAUAAACGAGAAAUAUCAUUUUAUGUUGCGAACUUUUUAAAGGUUUGGUUAUUUGUGUAUUUUACAAUGAUUCUCAGGGACUGGCUCCUUUCCUGGUUUUGUAUGAAGGAAAGCUUGAACAAAGGGAAGGAUAUAUUUCUGGAAAAGAAUUGGAGAAGUGUUUUAGAAUGCUCC